rnacentral:rRNA from 1 species
UACGGGAGGCAGCAGUGGGGAAUCUUGCACAAUGGAGGAAACUCUGAUGCAGCGAUGCCGCGUGAGUGAAGAAGGCCCUUGGGUUGUAAAGCUCUUUCGUCGGGGAAGAAAAUGACUGUACCCGAAUAAGAAG